rnacentral:lncRNA from 10 species
CCAGGAUGGUCUCAAUCUCCUGACCUCGUGAUCUGCCCGCCUCAGCCGGGUCAUCAUUCUUAACAAGACACUGUACUUGGAGUAGGAGUAGCCCUCCCAAAGCAGGAGGAAAAUACUUCACCCUGAGGGACUCAAAUCAUGGAACUGUUCCAGAAGCCUGGAUUAAUCGGAACCAGGUUGCCACCCAGAGGGAGAGGCAUGAACUGAGUGAUCAUAGAGAUAAAACAAGGGAAGUAGAACUGAAGGAUGGAGAGAAACCAGGACCUGACAAUUACUGGUGACAUCAUUUGAGCCCAAAUCCAGCCAUGUCUACAGACACUGAUAGCAGCAAGGGGCAGACAAAUGCCUGUGCAAAUGGGGCACAUCCCUGGUGAAAUACACCUUCAAGCUAAAAAACAACCUGAAGGCUGAAAGGCUGGACUCCUGGUCCUGGAUGAAACCCAGACCCAGAGUGAGAACUUCUGUUUGUGUUUGCCUGCCCUUUCCUGAUUGAUUCUUUCUGAAUAAUGCCUUUUAACCAAUCAAAUGUUGCCUUUCCAUUACUACCUAUGGCCUGCCCCUCCCCUAUUCUAAGCCCAUAAAAGCCCAAGACUCAGCCACAUUGGGGGUACUUUCCUGCCUUUUAGAGGGACCACCCCCAUGUUCCCUCUCCCUGGAAAGCUGUUUUGUCACUGAAUAAAACUCUCCACUUUGCCCACUCUUUGACUGUCAGUGUAUCUUCAUUCUUCUUGGACACUGGACAAGAACUCAGGAACUAGUGCACAAACCGGAGUCAGCCCGGGUAGGAUGAUUUGACAGAGCACCUCCUACAGCAGGUAGCAUGC